rnacentral:rRNA from 1 species
GCUGGGUGACAACCUUGGUGGGGUCCCCUCCCUCGGGAGGUGUGGCUUGCGCCUUGGGCCCGCGGCACACGUUUGCGCGCAGGCGGGGGAGCGCACUUCUCCUCGAGUAGGACGCCGCGACCCGCUGGGUGUCGGUCUAAGGCCCGGGUGCGUGCCCGCCGACGCGUUCGCGCGUCUGGCGGAGCCCCGGUGUCCCGGCCGACUGCCCGGCGGUAGUGAACGUUUGGAAUUGGCCCGCGUGCUUUGAUUAGCUCGCGCUCGUGCCCCGCGCAAGCGUCCGGCCGAUCCCCGUUGUUUGCGGACUCUGUUCCGCCGCGGGCCGGUCGGCGCUGUUGGCGUGGGGAUUUCUCGAGCAGCGGCCUGCUCCCGUUUGCGGCGCUUGCCACUUGGGCGGCCCACCCGGCCCGUCUUGAAACACGGACCAAGGAGUCUAACAUGUGCGCGAGUCAUUGGGUGCCACUACACCCAAGGGCGUAUUGAACGAAAAGCCCGGCCUUCGCGCCGGGCGAGGGAAGAUGGGGGUUCGGUUUACCGCGCCCCCCGCAUUCCCGGGGCGUCUCGUCCUACCGCCGCUCGUCGGCUGGAAGGUGAGGCGCACCAAGAGCGCACACGUUGGGACCCGAAAGAUGGUGAACUAUGCCUGGCCAGGACGAAGUCAGGGGAAACCCUGAUGGAGGUCCGUAGCGAUUCUGACGUGCAAAUCGAUCGUCGGAGCUGGGUAUAGGGGCGAAAGACUAAUCGAACCAUCUAGUAGCUGGUUCCCUCCGAAGUUUCCCUCAGGAUAGCUGGCGCUCGGAGAACCGAGUCCCAUCCGGUAAAGCGAAUGAUUAGAGGCCUUGGGGUCGAAACGACCUCAACCUAUUCUCAAACUUUAAAUGGGUGGGACCCGCGGCGUGCUUAACGGUGACGCCGCGGACCACGGAUCGGAGUGCCCAGUGGGCCACUUUUGGUAAGCAGAACUGGCGCUGUGGGAUGAACCAAACGCCGGUUAAGGCGCCCGAACCGACGCUCAUCCGAAACCAUGAAAGGUGUUGGUUGCUUAAGACAGCAGGACGGUGGCCAUGGAAGUCGGAAUCCGCUAAGGAGUGUGUAACAACUCACCUGCCGAAGCAACUAGCCCUGAAAAUGGAUGGCGCUGAAGCGUCGUGCCUAUACCCGGCCGCCGGCGGCAGAAGGCGGGGGCCCGCAAGGGUCGCCGCUGCGAAGCCCCGGUGAGUAGGAGGGUCGCGACGGUGAGCGCAGAAGGGUCUGGGCGUGAGCCUGCCUGGAGGCGCCGUCGGUGCAGAUCUUGGUGGUAGUAGCAAAUA